rnacentral:rRNA from 1 species
UAGAUAGAAAGAUUAAACUGAAGAGUUUGAUCAUGGCUCAGAUUGAACGCUGGCGGCAGGCUUAACACAUGCAAGUCGAACGAUGAAACUCUAGCUUGCUAGAGAUGAUUAGUGGCGGACGGGUGAGUAACAUUUAGGAAUCUGCCUAGUAGUGGGGGAUAGCUCGGGGAAACUCGAAUUAAUACCGCAUACGACCUACGGGUGAAAGGGGGCGCAAGCUCUUGCUAUUAGAUGAGCCUAAAUCAGAUUAGCUAGUUGGUGGGGUAAA